CCUACGGGAGGCAGCAGUGGGGAAUAUUGGACAAUGGGGGGAACCCUGAUCCAGCCAUGCCGCGUGUGUGAAGAAGGCCCUCGGGUUGUAAAGCACUUUCAGUGAGGAAGAACGCCUGGUGGUUAAUACCCAUCAGGAAAGACAUCACUCACAGAAGAAGCACCGGCUAACUCCGUGCCAGCAGCCGCGGUAAUACGGAGGGUGCGAGCGUUAAUCGGAAUUACUGGGCGUAAAGCGCGCGUAGGUGGCUUGAUAAGCCGGUUGUGAAAGCCCCGGGCUCAACCUGUGAACGGCCUCCGGAACUGUCAAGCUAGAGUGCAGGAGAGGAAGGUAGAAUUCCCGGUGUAGCGGUGAACUGCGUAGAGAUCGGGAGGAAUACCAGUGGCGAAGGCGGCCUUCUGGACUGACACUGACACUGAGGUGCGAAAGCGUGGGUAGCAAACAGGAUUAGAUACCCCGGUAGUC
rnacentral:rRNA from 1 species